rnacentral:rRNA from 1 species
AUUGAACGCUGGCGGCAGGCCUAACACAUGCAAGUAGAACGAGUGGCGGACGGGAGAGUAAUGUCUGGGACACUGCCUGAUGGAGGGGGAUGACUGCUGGAAACUGUAGCCAAUAGCGCAUACCAUCAGAUGUGCCCAGGUGGGAUUAGCUAGGAGGUGGGGUAAAGGCUCACCUAGGCGACGAUCCCUAGCGGGUCUGAGAGGAUGACCAGCCACACUGGAACUGAGACACGGUCCAGACGCCUACGGGAGGCAGCAGUGGGGAAUAUUGGACAAUGGGCGAAAGCCUGAUGCAGCCAGGCCGCGUGUAUGAAGAAGGCCUUCGGGUUGUAAAGUACUUUCAGCGGGGAGGCGUUACCCGCAGAAGAAGCACCGGCUAACUCCGUGCCAGCAGCCGCGGUAAUUC